rnacentral:rRNA from 1 species
AGACCCGAAACCCGGUGAUCUAGCCAUGGGCAGGUUGAAGGUUGGGUAACACUAACUGGAGGACCGAACCGACUAAUGUUGAAAAAUUAGCGGAUGACCUGUGGCUGGGGGUGAAAGGCCAAUCAAACCGGGAGAUAGCUGGUUCUCCCCGAAAGCUAUUUAGGUAGCGCCUCGUGAAUUCAUCUCCGGGGGUAGAGCACUGUUUCGGCUAGGGGGCCAUCCCGGCUUACCAACCCGAUGCAAACUGCGAAUACCGGAGAAUGUUAUCACGGGAGACACACGGCGGGUGCUAACGUCCGUCGUGAAGAGGGAAACAACCCAGACCGCCAGCUAAGGUCCCAAAGUCAUGGUUAAGUGGGAAACGAUGUGGGAAGGCCCAGACAGCCAGGAUGUUGGCUUAGAAGCAGCCAUCAUUUAAAGAAAGCGUAAUAGCUCACUGGUCGAGUCGGCCUGCGCGGAAGAUGUAACGGGGCUAAACCAUGCACCGAAGCUGCGGCAGCGAACGUAUCACUUAAAGCGAUUCAGCGGGUUACGAUUGACGGAGCGAAGCGACGUCAAAGCGUAUACAAAGUCGA